AGAGCGAACGCUGGCGGCAGGCCUAAUACAUGCAAGUCGAACGGAUCCUUCGGGAUUAGUGGCGGACGGGUGAGUAACACGUGGGAACGUACCCUUUGGUUCGGAACAACUCAGGGAAACUUGAGCUAAUACCGAAUGUGCCCUUCGGGGAAAAGAUUUAUCGCCAUUGGAGCGGCCCGCGUCUGAUUAGCUAGUUGGUAGGGUAAAGGCCUACCAAGGCUACGAUCAGUAGCUGGUCUGAGAGGAUGAUCAGCCACACUGGGACUGAGACACGGCCCAGACUCCUACGGGAGGCAGCAGUAGGGAAUCUUGCGCAAUGGGCGAAAGCCUGACGCAGCCAUGCCGCGUGAAUGAUGAAGGUCUUAGGAUUGUAAAAUUUCUUUCAGCGGGGACGAUAAUGACGGUACCCGCAGAAGAAGCCCCGGCUAACUUCGUGCCAGCAGCCGC
rnacentral:rRNA from 1 species